rnacentral:rRNA from 1 species
CGAGCACGGGAGUAGCAAUACAACUGGUGGCGACCGGCGCACGGGUAGAGUAACGCGUAUGCAACCUACCUAUCAGAGGGGAAUAACCCGGCGAAAGUCGGACUAAUACCGCAUAAAACAGGGGCACCGCAUGGUGAUAUUUGUUAAAGAGAUUCGCUGAUAGAUGGGCAUGCGUUCCAUUAGGUAGUUGGUGAGGUAACGGCUCACCAAGCCGACGAUGGAUAGGGGAACUGAGAGGUUGGUCCCCCACACUGGUACUGAGACACGGACCAGACUCCUACGGGAGGCAGCAGUGAGGAAUAUUGGUCAAUGGGCGGGAGCCUGAACCAGCCAAGUCGCGUGAAGGAAGAAGGAUCUAUGGUUCGUAAACUUCUUUUGCAGGGGAAUAAAGUGCAGGACGUGUCCUGUUUUGUAUGUACCCUGAGAAUAAGGAUCGGCUAACUCCGUGCCAGCCGCCGC